AGUGGCGGACGGGUGAGUAACGCGUGGGUAACCUGCCCCAUACAGGGGGAUAACAGAUAGAAAUGUCUGCUAAUACCGCAUAAGACCACAGCGCCGCAUGGUGCAGGGGUAAAAACUCCGGUGGUAUGGGAUGGACCCGCGUCUGAUUAGCUAGUUGGUGGGGUAAAGGCUCACCAAGGCGACGAUCAGUAGCCGACCUGAGAGGGUGACCGGCCACAUUGGGACUGAGACACGGCCCAAACUCCUACGGAAGGCAGCAG
rnacentral:rRNA from 1 species